UGACAUCGUGCACGUGGAGAAGGA
rnacentral:piRNA from 1 species